rnacentral:lncRNA from 10 species
GGCAGACCCUGCUCUCGAGUGCACAACCCCAGCAACCAGUCAGCAACAGUGGACAGAAAGGGAAGCAGCCCUUUUCAGGAGACAAUGCAACUCAACAAAGUGCUUAUCAGGCCUUCCUCAUCCUUAAGCACUGUCCGAAUGCAACACAGCAGAUGGGAAAAGUAACGAGACCACUGAACCAAAGAUGGGGAGAAGAAAGGUGGCAUUCCUCAGACAGUGAACAGGGAGAGGAGAAAGAGGUUUCAAGAUGAGCUGCAAGGCUCUGAGAUUCACUUCACAUGGCUCCCUGCCUAUGCUGAUGCAGGAAGGCCCGGGAAAGAAUGUCUGGAUGAAGAAGCAGCAGGUGAAAUUUGUGCAAGAUGGGUGAAG